UUCCAUCCUGAGUGGGGGUGAGUGGACAGGGAAGCUAAUGAAAGACCCCCAGAGUGGGGAGACCCUCACUCAAGUCUCGGGAUAAGCCGACGCCCCAAUAAUUCAAGAGAAACC
rnacentral:pre_miRNA from 11 species